UGUCUAGUAACUAUUACUAAACAACAAUUUCAUUCCAUAGAUAUUUACUUAAGGUAAAUUGUUGAAUUAUUUACUUGAUUAAAUCAUACAACAAUUGUGAUUUAAGUUCUUAAUUAAAUCAACAUUACUGUUUUCAAUCAAUAGCUAAAAUUGCAAUGAAACAUCAAAUCCCUCUUAAAUUUCUAUACUUAUUAAGUGGAUCACCAGCAGCAAGACAGUCAACCUGUCCCUGCCCAGCAGCAACCUUCUAGCCUUGGUCAGCAACCAGCAGGAGAUGUACAGGAACGAGAUAUAGUGUACAGUUAAACUGUACAUACAUGGAACUACAACAUCACAAACUAUCCAACUCUUCAAACAUCCUCAAAGACUAUUUGAUAUCACUUUUGGAUUACUUCCGUAUAAAUCUUUAUGAUAGCAUCACAAGCCAUAUUUUAUUCAAGUAACUUUUGUAAAGAUGCAAUUUUACUUGCCUUAUUUAAAUCACAAUGAUUUAAUCAACUAAUUCACUAAAAAAAUAUUUUGUAAUUACCAAUACUUCAAUACAAAUUUUCAUUUCUUAUAUGAUAAUUUUUGCCUCAAACUCUUAAUUAAAUUUUUUUUCAUAAAAGAUGGAAAUUGUCAAACAAGUCUCCAAGGCGGGGUUAUCAGCAGCGAGGGUCGAGCCACCUGGAGAAGAACUACCAG